rnacentral:hammerhead_ribozyme from 11 species
GAGAUGCAGGUACAUCCUGCUGACGAGUCCCAAAAAUAGGACGAAACAUAUU